GCACCUUCUUGGCUGUAGGAAAACAAUCCUUGUACCUUCGUCUGUCGGGGUUUUUGUUACUUCGUAAGUGCUUAUCCAAUAAUUUACGUUUAAUGGGUAGCGUUAACUAACGUUUAAUGCAACUGGCAAACGAAUUCCACUUUUCGGCUAACCUGCUAUGCGCAGGAGUACUGGCACGGGAGAGGAUUAAAGUUAUUCGGAAUAGACAAUUGAUAUUGACAAAUAUAUUUAUUUCGUCCGAUUGAGUUAUAUUAAUGUAAAUAUGUUAUAAUUUAUUCGAUUUUAGUCGAUUAAAUGUAUUACAAUGGCGGUUAUAAGUAUCGUCGGAUACAAAUGUAGAUGUAUUAUACGGUAGUAUGUAGUAAAUAUGUAUGUAGAUAUGGUGAAUGUUCGAGCUACUGGUCGGAUAGGGUUUCAGAAAUGUUCGAUAAGAUUUACUUAUUGUGAUAGAAUUAAUGGCGAAAACUAAUUUCUACUCGUUCGGGUGAUUAACAUAAUACGGUUUAUGACAAACGCUAUCGUAAGAUGUAGGCGAUGGCGAUCGAGAUUGGAAGGAAUGCGUCUCGCAAUGUUGGGAAAUAAGUGAACUCGAGGGCGAAAAACUCGGUACAAAAUCUUCGCGAUGUAAUCCUAACUCUUCUCGGCGCCUCUUUUCUUCCCUUUCAACUUCUGUAGCAAUUAAUCGUUUGUACCAACGGCUCGCUUCUUGUUAAGGUGACUUUUAUCUUUUCGAUUCUUUCUGGAUUUCGUCAUUUAAUGUGAUCAUGGUGAAGUUAAUAUCACUCUCUGUGUGCGACUUGUGCGAUUUCGCAAGCCUUGCCCAAAGACGGGCAAUAUUUGCCACCAAUGGGGGAGGAAUGCGAAAAUCGAUAAGUGUUUUCGAUAAUUGAAAACACCGUUAACACAGGUUUAACACAGCGAAUAAUCAGUUACAUUUGACAAUUUAGAAAAUAUAAGUCGUUCUUGGCAACUAGUGGAGUCGUAAGCGAAAAAUGAUUAUUUUAAUUGGUAACUGGGUUCACUGUGGACAAUCAGUGUGGCCUCUUAGGCCUCGCCCAAGGAUGAGCAAUCUGCUAACGAUGGGAAGAGGAAAACGAAAAACCAUAGAUGUUCUCUGCGUUGAAAACACCGUAAUCACUGGUUGAUACAGCGAACAAUUGUAAACGAAAUAGAUCGAAAUUUGAUAAAGUUGUUUUAUUCCAGACAAUUUAUUAAAUCUUGAGCAAGAACGUUUAUUUCAAUUUUAUAUCGUGAAUUCAAGACGUUCGGGUGAAAUCUACGUGAAUUGUGUGCUUGAUAGUUUCAUCUGUCAACUAGAGCUGCCGACGGGUGCUUUUGUUCAGAGAUAACUUUGUUCGACUGCAAGUUAAAAGAGAAGAGGAUAUACAAUUUCAAAUUUCCUACCUUGAUUAUAUGUAAAGUCGAUCGGCGGUAUGUAUGGCUUGGUGAUGAGCCGAAUUUUGACAAUUAACUGUGAUUCCGCAGAUGAAGUGACAAUACGAAUGCUUAAUUCGAAUGAUGAUUUUUGAAACCCUUUUUAAUAUUCGACUUCGACGAACAGAGUGACGAUGUGAACGAUUUGAAUUUUGGAUGAAGACUCUUUGAAACCAUUUAACUUUUCUAAUAUUCGAUUUCGACGGACAGAGAGACGAUGUGAAUGGUCUGAAUUUUAAAUAAGGACUCUGCUACUCUAUGUUAUUCUCGCUUAUUUAUAAUUUCCUAAUUGUCACGUGAUGGAUCAUCUCUAUGGGAAUCACAGCAUUGCUACGUGACAAAUUAGGAAUAUUGUAACUGCCUACUUUCGCGGAUUGUGCUCAAGUUUCGUCUUCUUGAUUAUCUUAUUUACGCUAUUCCUAAUUUCUCAUAUUUCGUUGGGUAUUAGGGACAUGCAAGGUGCUUGAUAAAAUGUAGGUAUCGUAGUAGCCCGUAUUUUGCUAAUGUUGCGUCUGCGAUGUUUCCCAGAACUUCUCUACUGAUACCAGUGGAACGUGGCAGACGCGUGCCAACUUGUCCUUGCUGAAGUUGCAUCUGCGAUGUAUCUGCUAACUUCCUUGCUGAUGCCAGUGAAACGUUCUAGGCGCGUGGCAACUUAGUAUUUGCCGAGUCUUCUUAUGCGUUAUUUCCUGUUUCUUUCAAUAAAAUAUCAUUUUUUUUUAUAAUAGUAAGUUUAAUAUAUUAUUUCAUGGUUUGUUUCUCACGGCUGGUUUCUAUUAAUUUCUAAUAUUCUUGCGUUACGUUGUAUUGACCAUUAUUUAUUCUUUCUUUGUUACGAUCUUCCAUUUCUAUUAUCAUUUAUUAAAUAUUUAUUCCUUCGCUGAAAAUGUAAUUUAUUUUGUAACGCAUAAAGGUUACUAUACGCGCGUGUUGAUUAUCCAAAAUGGCCGCCUGUGAAUGUUCUACAGUUCUAAUCCUUCAACGCUGAGUCCUUUACUUGGAAUGGUUACAUGGUGCGCGUUUGGUAUCUCCUGGUUCUUCGUUACAUGUCUAACACUUAUCAAGACUACCUUUACUUAUCCUAGAAUUGUAAGUAUAUAUAUAGAUAUAUAUAAAAUACUAUAUUUUGUAAAUAUCUGUAUAGUAAAAUAGUCCGUCCACUAUCUUGUUUGCUAAGACCGCUUCGCUAACAUCGAGUUGUUUUGUUAUAAUGUCGGAAUAUUUCCUUGGUUUUCCAGUUUCUUGUUGCCGUCUUGACUGUUUCGGUAGUAUCUGGUUCAGUAUUCCAUAAGUAUUCACUUAAGUUUGGUAGUAGGCUUCUUGUAACUGCAUCGGCUUUAAUGUAUAUCUUCCGAUGUGAGUAACGAGCUUCUUAUUAUUAUCAAUUUCUAUUCCAAGAUGGUUUACAACAUUCUUGCCCUUUUUAGGUUAUGAUUUGCUACCUCGGUAUUUAUUACCUUCGAUAUCUUCAUACCGUCGUAUAUUAUGUUUUGCAAAGUUGGAUCCGUAGCCAAUUCUCGUGGAAUUCCUGCAUGCACACUUCCUUCUACGAUGAUUGGUUGCAUACAAAUCUCGUUAACUUAUAAGGUACCUUUUCUUGUUUGCUAAGACCAUUCCGUCGGUGUUGAAUCGUUUGUUAUAAUGUCACUAAUUUUUGACUUUCCAAUUUUAUCACGUCUUCUUGAUCAUUCCAGUAGUAUCAACUUCGAUUCUUCGUACACAUUUAAUCCAAUUUGGUAGUUGGUUUCUCAUAACUGUGUUGACCCUUGUAUAAACUUCUUCGAUGUGAGUAGUAAAUUAUCGUUGUCACUCACUUAACCUAUCUUAGUUAUUUCUUAACUCUUCCUGCGCUUAUUAAUUAAUUUUAUUUCUUCUUAGUAAAGACCGCUGUGUCAACGCGGAGUAAUUUCGUUAUAAUGUCAUUAAUUUUCUUGAUUUUUUUGGUUUUAUUUUCCAUUAGCGAACUGUAAGUUUGUUGUCGAGCAUCAAUUAUUGAUUGUUGUGCUUCGUUUAGUUUAAUUGAAAUAUUAUUGCAAGUCUUUAAUAGUAUUAUUCUCUUCCAUAUAUAUUAAGGCAAUUGAGGUUAGUUCAUUCAUUCGUUUCUGCUGACAGUCGUAUACUAUGUUCUACGGAGUGGGUCCACAACUUGUUUCUGCGAAAUUCCAGCAUGUAUGCUUCCUUCUACGAUGAUUAACUGUGCACUAGGUGCUUUUAACUUUCACUGCUUUUAAUCAUUUUAUUGAAUUAACAUGUUGUGUAUUUAAAUGAUGGUUAGAACACACA